GACGAACGCUGGCGGCGUGCUUAACACAUGCAAGUCGAACGGAAAGGCCCUGCUUUUGUGGGGUGCUCGAGUGGCGAACGGGUGAGUAACACGUGAGUAACCUGCCCUUGACUUUGGGAUAACUUCAGGAAACUGGGGCUAAUACCGGAUAGGAGCUCCUGCUGCAUGGUGGGGGUUGGAAAGUUUCGGCGGUUGAGGAUGGACUCGCGGCUUAUCAGCUUGUUGGUGGGGUAGUGGCUUACCAAGGCUUUGACGGGUAGCCGGCCUGAGAGGGUGACCGGCCACAUUGGGACUGAGAUACGGCCCAGACUCCUACGGGAGGCAGCAGUGGGGAAUAUUGCACAAUGGGCGGAAGCCUGAUGCAGCAACGCCGCGUGCAGGAUGACGGCCUUCGGGUUGUAAACCGCUUUCGCCUGUGACGAAGCGUGAGUGACGGUAAUGGGUAAAGAAGCACCGGCUAACUACGUG
rnacentral:rRNA from 1 species